rnacentral:lncRNA from 1 species
GCGGGUGUGCCCGUGGCCUAUUUUUGGCACACGGAGGCCGCCCGCAAAGUCUGGGGCCAUUCCGAGUCCGGCGGACGAACUUCGCCCACGCCCCGCACCAAGGCUAUAGCCCACCCGUUUUUUGGCCAUUUUUCCGCUGGGGGGUCUUGGCGCCCCGACCUUCGGGGGCUGAAUUUUGGGCGCGGGUGUGCCCGUGGCCUAUUUUUGGCACACGGAGGCCGCCCGCAAAGUCUGGGGCCAUUCCGAGUCCGGCGGACGAACUUCGCCCACGCCCCCCACCAAGGCUAUAGCCCACCCGUUUUUUGGCCAUUUUUCCGCUGGGGGGUCUUGGCGCCCCGACCUUCGGGGGCUGAUUUUUGGGCGCGGCUGUGCCCGUGGCCUAUUUUUGGCACACGGAGGCCGCCCGCAAAGUCUGGGGCCAUUCCGAGUCCGGCGGACGAACUUCGCCCACCACCCCCACCAAGGCUAUAGCCCACCCGUUUUUUGGCCAUUUAUCCGCUGGGGGGUCUUGGCGCCCCGACCUUCGGGGGCUGAAUUUUGGGCGCGGGUGUGCCCGUGGCCUAUUUUUGGCACACGGAGGCCGCCCGCAAAGUCUGGGGCCAUUCCGAGUCCGGCGGACGAACUUCGCCCACGCCCCCCACCAAGGCUAUAGCCCACCCGUUUUUUGGCCAUUUUUCCGCUGGGGGGUCUUGGCGCCCCGACCUUCGGGGGCUGAUUUUUGGGCGCGGGUGUGCCCGUGGCCUAUUUUUGGCACACGGAGGCCGCCCGCAAAGUCUGGGGCCAUUCCGAGUCCGGCGGACGAACUUCGCCCACGCCCCCCACCAAGGCUAUAGCCCACCCGUUUUUUGGCCAUUUUUCCGCUGGGGGGUCUUGGCUCCCCGACCUUCGGGGGCUGAUUUUUGGGCGCGGGUGUGCCCGUGGCCUAUUUUUGGCACACGGAGGCCGCCCGCAAAGUCUGGGGCCAUUCCGAGUCCGGCGGACGAACUUCGCCCACGCCCCCCACCAAGGCUAUAGCCCACCCGUUUUUUGGCCAUUUUUCCGCUGGGGGGUCUUGGCGCCCCGACCUUCGGGGGCUGAAUUUUGGGCGCGGGUGUGCCCGUGGCCUAUUUUUUGCACACGGAGGCCGCCCGCAAAGUCUGGGGCCAUUCCGAGUCCGGCGGACGAACUUCGCCCACGCCCCCCACCAAGGCUAUAGCCCACCCGUUUUUUGGCCAUUUUUCCGCUGGGGGGUCUUGGCGCCCCGACCUUCGGGGGCUGAAUUUUGGGCGCGGGUGUGCCCGUGGCCUAUUUUUGGCACACGGAGGCCGCCCGCAAAGUCUGGGGCCAUUCCGAGUCCGGCGGACGAACUUCGCCCACGCCCCCCACCAAGGCUAUAGCCCACCCGUUUUUUGGCCAUUUUUCCGCUGGGGGGUCUUGGCGCCCCGACCUUCAGGGGCUGAUUUUUGGGCGCGGGUGUGCCCGUGGCCUAUUUUUGGCAAACGGAGGCCGCCCGCAGAGUCUGGGGCCAUUCCGAGUCCGGCGGACGAGCUUCGCCCACGCCCCCCACCAAGGCUAUAGCCCACCCGUUUUUUGGCCAUUUUUCCGCUGGGGGGUCUUGGCGCCCCGACCUUCGGGGGCUGAUUUUUGGGCGCGGGUGUGCCCGUGGCCUAUUUUUGGCACACGGAGGCCGCCCGCAAAGUCUGGGGCCAUUCCGAGUCCGGCGGACGAACUUCGCCCACGCCCCCCACCAAGGCUAUAGCCCACCCGUUUUUUGGCCAUUUUUCCGCUGGGGGGUCUUGGCGCCCCGACCUUCGGGGGCUGAUUUUUGGGCGCGGGUGUGCCCGUGGCCUAUUUUUGGCAUACGGAGGCCGCCCGCAAAGUCUGGGGCCAUUCCGAGUCCGGCGGACGAACUUCGCCCACGCCCCCCACCAAGGCUAUAGCCCACCCGUUUUUUGGCCAUUUUUCCGCUGGGGGGUCUUGGCUCCCCGACCUUCGGGGGCUGAUUUUUGGGCGCGGGUGUGCCCGUGGCCUAUUUUUGGCACACGGAGGCCGCCCGCAAAGUCUGGGGCCAUUCCGAGUCCGGCGGACGAACUUCGCCCACGCCCCCCACCAAGGCUAUAGCCCACCCGUUUUUUGGCCAUUUUUCCGCUGGGGGGUCUUGGCGCCCCGACCUUCGGGGGCUGAAUUUUGGGCGCGGGUGUGCCCGUGGCCUAUUUUUGGCACACGGAGGCCGCCCGCAAAGUCUGGGGCCAUUCCGAGUCCGGCGGACGAACUUCGCCCACGCCCCCCACCAAGGCUAUAGCCCACCCGUUUUUUGGCCAUUUUUCCGCUGGGGGGACUUGGCUCCCCGACCUUCGGGGGCUGAUUUUUGGGCGCGGGUGUGCCCGUGGCCUAUUUUUGGCACACGGAGGCCGCCCGCAAAGUCUGGGGCCAUUCCGAGUCCGGCGGACGAACUUCGCCCACGCCCCCCACCAAGGCUAUAGCCCACCCGUUUUUUGGCCAUUUUUCCGCUGGGGGGUCUUGGCGCCCCGACCUUCGGGGGCUGAAUUUUGGGCGCGGGUGUGCCCGUGGCCUAUUUUUGGCACACGGAGGCCGCCCGCAAAGUCUGGGGCCAUUCCGAGUCCGGCGGACGAACUUCGCCCACGCCCCCCACCAAGGCUAUAGCCCACCCGUUUUUUGGCCAUUUUUCCGCUGGGGGGUCUUGGCGCCCCGACCUUCGGGGGCUGAAUUUUGGGCGCGGGUGUGCCCGUGGCCUAUUUUUGGCACACGGAGGCCGCCCGCAAAGUCUGGGGCCAUUCCGAGUCCGGCGGACGAACUUCGCCCACGCCCCCCACCAAGGCUAUAGCCCACCCGUUUUUUGGCCAUUUUUCCGCUGGGGGGUCUUGGCGCCCCGACCUUCGGGGGCUGAAUUUUGGGCGCGGGUGUGUCCGUGGCCUAUUUUUGGCACACGGAGGCCGCCCGCAAAGUCUGGGGCCAUUCCGAGUCCGGCGGACGAACUUCGCCCACGCCCCCCACCAAGGCUAUAGCCCACCCGUUUUUUGGCCAUUUUUCCGCUGGGGGGUCUUGGCGCCCCGACCUUCGGGGGCUGAAUUUUGGGCGCGGGUGUGCCCGUGGCCUAUUUUUGGCACACGGAGGCCGCCCGCAAAGUCUGGGGCCAUUCCGAGUCCGGCGGACGAGCUUCGCCCACACCCCCCACCAAGGCUAUAGCCCACCCGUUUUUUGGCCAUUUUUCCGCUGGGGGGUCUUGGCGCCCCGACCUUCGGGGGCUGAAUUUUGGGCGCGGGUGUGCCCGUGGCCUAUUUUUGGCACACGGAGGCCGCCCGCAAAGUCUGGGGCCAUUCCGAGUCCGGCGGACGAACUUCGCCCACGCCCCCCACCAAGGCUAUAGCCCACCCGUUUUUUGGCCAUUUUUCCGCUGGGGGGUCUUGGCGCCCCGACCUUCGGGGGCUGAUUUUUGGGCGCGGGUGUGCCCGUGGCCUAUUUUUGGCACACGGAGGCCGCCCGCAAAGUCUGGGGCCAUUCCGAGUCCGGCGGACGAACUUCGCCCACGCCCCCCACCAAGGCUAUAGCCCACCCGUUUUUUGGCCAUUUUUCCGCUGGGGGGUCUUGGCGCCCCGACCUUCGGGGGCUGAAUUUUGGGCGCGGGUGUGCCCGUGGCCUAUUUUUGGCACACGGAGGCCGCCCGCAAAGUCUGGGGCCAUUCCGAGUCCGGCGGACGAACUUCGCCCACGCCCCCCACCAAGGCUAUAGCCCACCCGUUUUUUGGCCAUUUUUCCGCUGGGGGGUCUUGGCGCCCCGACCUUCGGGGGCUGAAUUUUGGGCGCGGGUGUGCCCGUGGCCUAUUUUUGGCACACGGAGGCCGCCCGCAAAGUCUGGGGCCAUUCCGAGUCCGGCGGACGAACUUCGCCCACGCCCACCACCAAGGCUAUAGCCCACCCGUUUUUUGGCCAUUUUUCCGCUGGGGGGUCUUGGCGCCCCGACCUUCGGGGGCUGAAUUUUGGGCGCGGGUGUGCCCGUGGCCUAUUUUUGGCACACGGAGGCCGCCCGCAAAGUCUGGGGCCAUUCCGAGUCCGGCGGACGAGCUUCGCCCACGCCCCCCACCAAGGCUAUAGCCCACCCGUUUUUUGGCCAUUUUUCCGCUGGGGGGUCUUGGCGCCCCGACCUUCGGGGGCUUAAUUUUGGGCGCGGGUGUGCCCGUGGCCUAUUUUUGGCACACGGAGGGCGCCCGCAAAGUCUGGGGCCAUUCCGAGUCCGGCGGACGAACUUCGCCCACGUCCCCCACCAAGGCUAUAGCCCACCCAUUUUUUGGCCAUUUUUCCGCUGGGGGGUCUUGGCGCCCCGACCUUCGGGGGCUGAUUUUUGGGCGCGGGUGUGCCCGUGGCCUAUUUUUGGCACACGGAGGCCGCCCGCAAAGUCUGGGGCCAUUCCGAGUCCGGCGGACGAACUUCGCCCACGCCCCCCACCAAGGCUAUAGCCCACCCGUUUUUUGGCCAUUUUUCCGCUGGGGGGUCUUGGCGCCCCGACCUUCGGGGGCUGAUUUUUGGGCGCGGGUGUGCCCGUGGCCUAUUUUUGGCACACGGAGGCCGCCCGCAAAGUCUGGGGCCAUUCCGAGUCCGGCGGACGAACUUCGCCCACGCCCCCCACCAAGGCUAUAGCCCACCCGUUUUUUGGCCAUUUUUCCGCUGGGGGGUCUUGGCGCCCCGACCUUCGGGGGCUGAUUUUUGGGCGCGGGUGUGCCCGUGGCCUAUUUUUGGCACACGGAGGCCGCCCGCAAAGUCUGGGGCCAUUCCGAGUCCGGCGGACGAGCUACGCCCACGCCCCCCACCAAGGCUAUAGCCCACCCAUUUUUUGGCCAUUUUUCCGCUGGGGGGUCUUUGCGCCCCGACCUUCGGGGGCUGAAUUUUGGGCGCGGGUGUGCCCGUGGCCUAUUUUUGGCACACGGAGGCCGCCCGCAAAGUCUGGGGCCAUUCCGAGUCCGGCGGACGAACUUCGCCCACGCCCCCCACCAAGGCUAUAGCCCACCCGUUUUUUGGCCAUUUUUCCGCUGGGGGGUCUUGGCGCCCCGACCUUCGGGGGCUGAUUUUUGGGCGCGGGUGUGCCCGUGGCCUAUUUCGGGCACACGGAGGCCGCCCGCAAAGUCGGGGGCCAUUUCGAGUCCGGCGGACGAACUUCGCCCACGCCCCCCACCAAGGCUAUAGCCCACCCGUUUUUUGGCCAUUUUUCCGCUGGGGGGUCUUGGCGCCCCGACCUUCGGGGGCUGAAUUUUGGGCGCGGGUGUGCCCGUGGCCUAUUUUUGGCACACGGAGGCCGCCCGCAAAGUCUGGGGCCAUUCCGAGUCCGGCGGACGAACUUCGCCCACGCCCCCCACCAAGGCUAUAGCCCACCCGUUUUUUGGCCAUUUUUCCGCUGGGGGGUUUUGGCACCACGACCUUCGCGCGCUUAUUUCUGGGCGCGGCUUUGCCCGCGGCUUAUUUUUGGCACCCCGAGGCCCCUCGCAAAGUCUCGCCCCAUUCCGAGUCCGGCGGACGAACUUCGCCCGCGCCCCCCACCAAGGCUAUAGCCCACCCGUUUUUUGGCCAUUUUUCCGCUGGGGGGUUUUGGCACCACGACCUUCGCGCGCUUAUUUCUGGGCGCGGCUUUGCCCGCGGCUUAUUUUUGGCACCCCGAGGCCCCUCGCAAAGUCUCGCCGCAUUCCGAGUCCGGCGGACGAACGUCGCCCGCGCCCCCCACCAAGUCUAUAGCCCACCCGUUUUUUGGCCAUUUUUCCGCUCGGGGGUUUUGGCACCACGACCUUCGGGCGCUUAUUUUUGGGCGCGGCUUUGCCCGCGGCUUAUUUUUGGCACCCCGAGGCCCCUCGCAAAGUCUCGCCCCAUUCCGAGUCCGGCGGACGAACUUCGCCCGCGCCCCCCACCAAGGCUAUAGCCCACCCGUUUUUUGGCCAUUUUUCCGCUGGGGGGUCUUGGCGCCCCGACCUUCGGGGGCUGAUUUUUGGGCGCGGGUG